GACGAACCGUGCGAACGUUGUUCGGAAUCACUGGGCUUAGAGGGCGCGUAGGCGGGCCGGCAAGUCAGGGGUGAAAUCUUCCAGCUCAACUGGAAAAGGGCCUUUGAUACUGUCGGCCUCGAGGGAGGUAGGGGCAUGCGGAACUUCCGGUGGAGCGGUGAAAUGCGUAGAUAUCGGAAGGAACGCCGGUGGCGAAAGCGGCGUGCUGGACCUCUUCGUGACGCUGAGGCGCGAAAGCUAGGGGAGCAAACGGGG
rnacentral:rRNA from 1 species